AUUUAUGAUCUUUGAUGUCUCUCCUUUCCUAGUCUUGACUAAGGAUAUUAUCCCAAGUGUGUGCUCCUGAAUGCUAUGCAUUGGUGAAAGGAGGCAGAAAGAAGCUUGAAGACUCAACAUGCUUUAGAUGCUCUGAAAGCCUCUUUGGACCAAAAAUAAUACAGACUGCUCUUACAAAUCUAUAUUACCUCUGCUGUCACAGCUUAAGUGUAUCUUUUGGCUUCAGGAAUUGUGGGAGUAUUCAGGAGGCUCAAUUUUUAUGGUAGCAAAACACCUCUACAAACAAACAAAAAGUUCACCAAAAAUAGAAGAGGACAUCAACAAAAUGAUCAGGUGCUUCUCCAAUUUAAUUGUUUGGAAGCAGUCACUGGAAGCAACACUAUGUGACUCAGCUUUGGUGAUACAGUCCAGCUGGGGUCUGACAGCUGGUUUUCAUGGAAACCCUGUUUGUAAGAACAACACAGAAUUAACACACACAGAGACCAGUUUGAUUCAGAGUGGAAGCAAAACAUCAGCCUCACUAACUUGUUUUGCAUCAUAAGCAGCCAUGUACUCCAAUUGGUUGGUUUGCUUUGCGUAUAGGCAGCUUCAACGUGUGAUCCAAAGGUGAGCUUGGUGUGGAAACCCUUUCCCCACUUAGGCUUGGCCUCCUAAAUUCAAACACAUACAUAGGACCUUAUACUUCUUCAUAUCAUUUAUUGGCACUGUGGUGAACAGUUUUCCACUAGACAGUUAAUACCCUUUCUCCCACUAUACUGUCAACUCUAUGAGAGCCAC
rnacentral:lncRNA from 1 species